GAUGAACGCUGGCGGCGUGCCUAAUACAUGCAAGUCGAGCGAACAGAUGAGGAGCUUGCUCCUCUGACGUUAGCGGCGGACGGGUGAGUAACACGUGGAUAACCUACCUAUAAGACUGGGAUAACUUCGGGAAACCGGAGCUAAUACCGGAUAAUAUAUUGAACCGCAUGGUUCAAUAGUGAAAGACGGUUUUGCUGUCACUUAUAGAUGGAUCCGCGCCGCAUUAGCUAGUUGGUAAGGUACCGGCUUACCAAGGCAACGAUGCGUAGCCGACCUGAGAGGGUGAUCGGCCACACUGGAACUGAGGCACGGUCCAGACUCCUACGGGAGGCAGCAGUAGGGAAUCUUCCGCAAUGGGCGAAAGCCUGACGGAGCAACGCCGCGUGAGUGAUGAAGGUCUUCGGAUCGUAAAACUCUGUUAUUAGGGAAGAACAAAUGUGUAAGUAACUAUGCACGUCUUGACGGUACCUAAUCAGAAAGCCACGGCUAACUACGUG
rnacentral:rRNA from 1 species